UACGGAGGAUGCAAGCGUUAUCCGGAAUGAUUGGGCGUAAAGCGUCCGCAGGUGGCUGUGUAAGUCUGCUGUGAAAGUCCAGGGCUCAACCCUGGAAUGCCGGUGGAUACUGUCGGGCUAGAGUUCGGAAGAGGCAAGUGGAAUUCCUGGUGUAGCGGUGGAAUGCGCAGAUAUCAGGAGGAACACCUAUAGCGAAGGCAGCUUGCUGGGACGACACUGACGCUGAGGCGCGAAAGCGUGGGGAGCGAACAGG
rnacentral:rRNA from 1 species